UAGAUAAGCUGUCCUAUCGCUCUUGCUUCAAGCAGGGGAGGAAAGUCCGGGCAGUGCAGAGCACCGUACUUCCUAACGGGAAGGCAGCCGAUUGGCGACGAUUAGCUGACAGCAAGUGCCACAGAAAAGAUACCGCCUGGCAUACUUUUUAUGCGAGGUAAGGGUGAAAAGGUGGGGUAAGAGCCCACCGGAUCGGUAGCGAUGCCGAGAGCAGGGUAAACCUUACGGACUGAAAGACCAAAUAGGUGCCGAGAAGAAGCGGCUCGUUUCGGUUCCGGCACGUUCGGAACAUUGGCACGGGUAGGUCGUUAGAGGCUCCGGGUGAUCGGAGCCCCAGAUAAAUGAUAGGAGUUUCGGGGAAACCCGGAAUACAGAACCCGGCUUACAGGCUUAUCUAUUUU
rnacentral:RNase_P_RNA from 1 species